rnacentral:rRNA from 1 species
UACAGGGGGGGCAAGCGUUGUUCGGAAUUACUGGGCGUAAAGGGCUUGUAGGUGGCCAACUAAGUCACACGUGAAAUCCCCAGGCUUAACCUGGGAACUGCGUGUGAUACUGGAUGGCUUGAAUCCGGGAGAGGGAUGCGGAAUUCCAGGUGUAGCGGUGAAAUGCGUAGAUAUCUGGAGGAACACCGGUGGCGAAGGCGGCAUCCUGGACCGGUAUUGACACUGAAAAGCGAAAGCCAGGGAGCAAACGGG